rnacentral:rRNA from 1 species
AGAGUUUGAUCCUGGCUCAGGAUGAACGCUGGCGGCGUGCCUAAUACAUGCAAGUCGAGCGAACAGACAAGGAGCUUGCUCCUUUGACGUUAGCGGCGGACGGGUGAGUAACACGUGGGUAACCUACCUAUAAGACUGGGAUAACUUCGGGAAACCGGAGCUAAUACCGGAUAAUAUUUCGAACCGCAUGGUUCGAUAGUGAAAGAUGGUUUUGCUAUCACUUAUAGAUGGACCCGCGCCGUAUUAGCUAGUUGGUAAGGUAACGGCUUACCAAGGCGACGAUACGUAGCCGACCUGAGAGGGUGAUCGGCCACACUGGAACUGAGACACGGUCCAGACUCCUACGGGAGGCAGCAGUAGGGAAUCUUCCGCAAUGGGCGAAAGCCUGACGGAGCAACGCCGCGUGAGUGAUGAAGGUCUUCGGAUCGUAAAACUCUGUUAUUAGGGAAGAACAUACGUGUAAGUAACUAUGCACGUCUUGACGGUACCUAAUCAGAAAGCCACGGCUAACUACGUGCCAGCAGCCGCGGUAAUACGUAGGUGGCAAGCGUUAUCCGGAAUUAUUGGGCGUAAAGCGCGCGUAGGCGGUUUUUUAAGUCUGAUGUGAAAGCCCACGGCUCAACCGUGGAGGGUCAUUGGAAACUGGAAAACUUGAGUGCAGAAGAGGAAAGUGGAAUUCCAUGUGUAGCGGUGAAAUGCGCAGAGAUAUGGAGGAACACCAGUGGCGAAGGCGACUUUCUGGUCUGUAACUGACGCUGAUGUGCGAAAGCGUGGGGAUCAAACAGGAUUAGAUACCCUGGUAGUCCACGCCGUAAACGAUGUCGACUUGGAG